GAAGAAGAAGAAGAAGAAGAAGAUGAAGAAAAACAAUGUGAUUUAUCUCAUGCUCAAGAUAAUCCUAUUUCUCUUAUUUUUUUUAGAUAUUAAUGGCAGUAACAAAACCUGUGAUUCAAUACAGAAAGAAAACACUUAUACUACAGAGUCUAAAACCUGCGUUCCUGCUAUAGCUGCCUGUGUGACCGUAAUCGUGCUGUUGGUGAUACUUUAUGUGAUACAGGUUGUAAUAACGAGGAAAAAACCUAACGCUGAAGAAAUUGAGAUGAAUGAGAGGAAAGAACGAAGCAAAGGCACAGACAAGCAGAUUUAUGAAAACGUUGUUGAGAUGUCAGGAGGUGCUACUACAUCAGGACGACAACUCGAUGACGUAGUACACGAGCAGCAGCAAGACUAUCGUGAAAGUCUCAAUCGAGACAAAGAAAGCCCGACAACGCUCCAGACAAGCAAAGAUGAUGGCCUUGUAAGGAAUCAAGAAGAAAUGGAUACACAUAUCUAUACUGCACUUGCGAACCGCGAUGAUCCACCAGUCUACCAGGAAUUGUCGUUUAAAACUGGUAUUAAGAAGAAAAAAUAGAGUUUCAAGCAUGUCACCAUUAUCGCCCGCAUCCUUUCUACGCAUCGCUUUUGGCCAUUUUCAGACAACACCUCGCACUUAUUUACGUUGAAAUGCAGACGCCAAUUCCUGCUUCGAUGUGACAUGAUGUCAAUGUCAUCUUGAAGAGCUAAACAGUCAGAACUGUUGUUGAUAGCUCUGGAGCACUUUUAAUCGUCAGCAAACAAUAUAACUUGGGACUCACUAUCAAUAACUGAUGGAAGGGUCAUUGAUAUACACCAAGGAGAGUAGAGGUCCCAAGAUGAUUCCCUGUGGAACACCUAAUAUUACUGGAAGAGGCGUUUUGAUAGCACCCUGUAGAACAGUACUCUGAAAACGGUUGAUUUAACAAAUAAAACAGCUUUUUCCGUACUCCGUUCAGUAAUAAAGCACGCAGGACGUGGCGCAAGCACGAAAGAAGUUUAAGGAGAAGCCCGAGCCGUAGGCAUUUACGCAAAAAGAAGAUUGUCGCAGGAUCUAACAGCACUUCGCGCGCGCGGAUGGCGUCAGCAAUGCUCCGUUCACUAAUAAAGCACAGUUUAUAUUCUUUAUAUUCCAUACCACGAUUGAUUACUAUAGCUAAUCUAGAAAUAUUUACCAAAUUAUUAUUAUUUCGGCUAUUUAUUUACCAAUUGUUCAAAUCGUGGUUA